rnacentral:rRNA from 1 species
UACAGAGGGUGCGAGCGUUGUCCGGAAUUACUGGGCGUAAAGCGUGCGCAGGCGGUUGUGCAAGACAGAUGUGAAAUCCCCGGGCUCAACCUGGGAACUGCAUUUGUGACUGCACAGCUUGAGUGCGGCAGAGGGGGAUGGAAUUCCGCGUGUAGCAGUGAAAUGCGUAGAUAUGCGGAGGAACACCGAUGGCGAAGGCAAUCCCCUGGGCCUGCACUGACGCUCAUGCACGAAAGCGUGGGGAGCAAACAGG